CCUACGGGAGGCAGCAGUGGGGAAUAUUGGGCAAUGGGCGAAAGCCUGACCCAGCAACGCCGCGUGAAGGAAGAAGGCUUUCGGGUUGUAAACUUCUUUUGACAGGGAAGAGCAGAAGACGGUACCUGUCGAAUAAGCCACGGCUAACUACGUGCCAGCAGCCGCGGUAAUACGUAGGUGGCAAGCGUUGUCCGGAUUUACUGGGGGUAAAGGGCGUGUAGCCGGGCUGACAAGUCAGAUGUGAAAUCCUGGGGCUCAACCCCCGAACGGCAUUUGAAACUGUUGGUCUUGAGUAUCGGAGAGGCAGGCGGAAUGUCUAGUGUAGGAGUGAAAUCCGUAGAUAUUAGAAGGAACACCAAUAGCGUAGGCAGGUUACUGGGACGGUUCUGACACUAAGGCACGAAAGCGUAGGGAGCAAACGGGAUUAGAUACCCUUGUAGUC
rnacentral:rRNA from 1 species